rnacentral:lncRNA from 1 species
GUGACGCCACUGGGUUUCGGCUGAGUUUUCUGACCAUUUGACCGGUGGUUUGGCUCUGGUUUGGCCAUAGGCAGACUCAGCAUCGAAAAACGAGCAAGGGGGAGAAAUAUUACCUCGAUCGGCAGUCAGAAACUUCCCCGGUGCGGCGGCGGGUGUUGGCGGCCGGCUCCUCCGGCGAUUGGUUCUUCUCCGGCGAGCACUGGCGGCUAGGGUUUCUUUGGUCAAGUGUGGGUGGGGGUAUUUAUACCCUUCGCGAUGCAAUCUGGGCCGUCCGUGCCUGAUUGAAUCUGGGCCGUCCGUGCGCGUGAAU